CUUCUUUCUAUUUUUCUCUUUAACCCCCAGAACAUUACUCUUUUUAGAUUUUGAAAACUAGGGUCUCUGUCUGUUCAAAACUUAUUUUCUAGCCCUCCAUUUAGACACACUCUUUCUCUCUUCUCUCUCUAAAUACAUAAAAUCCAUUUAAGAGGGAGAGAGUGAGAGAGGGCGGGACCAUAAAUUUAUUUUCAGGCGUUUCAAAACCCUAGAUCAGCCCCCAAUUUCCCGCCAAAACCCAUCUCCUAAAUACGACCUGUUUGCAAAAAUCGUGCAUAUAAUAGCGUACCCUUUUCUCUUAAUGACUGUUGCUUAUUAGUAAUGACUUUUUGUUUUUGCUUUUGUUUUUGAUGAUAACAAAGAGAACAACUAACCCAUUUUUAGGGUUUUGAAACAAUGGCAGGUUGGUCUAUGAUAGCUAAUGAUUCUACAAAAAACCCACGAAGAAAGAUAGCCCCGAACAGGUUUUGGGUGGAUCCUGAGCCGAAUUCAAAAGGGUCCGUUGUAAAAACCAAACUCAAUUACCAGCUCAGGAGUUGUUUUGAUAAGUUUUCAGAGUCAUUUUUCAAAGAGGUUUGUGGGUUAGAUAGUUGUUUAUGGACUCUACCUCCAAUGCUUGGAAAUGGGCAGUUUGUAGAUUUGCUUAAACUGUUUUUAGUUGUGAGAGAGAAGGGUGGAUAUGAUGUCGUUUCCAAAAAUGGGUUGUGGGGUUUGGUUGCUCAAGAGUCUGGGUUUGGAUUGAGCCUUGUGCCGGCUGUGAAACUGGUCUACAUUAAGUACUUAGACGCAUUGGAGAGGUGGUUAGAGAGGCUUCUUGUUGACAGUGUAGAACUCAACACGGAGUUGAGUGAUAGCGGGGUUAAUGUGGUUGGGGCUGUAAUGGAAUUAGGGGCCGAGUUCAAAGGGUUGUUAUCAGAAAUGCCAGAGAAGGAGUUUUUGGAAUUGAAAUCGGAGUUGAACGUGGAUGCCGAGGUGGAGUCUUAUGAGAGUGAGAAGUUUGUCGAGGAUGAAGAACCUUUGCAUAUAGACUUAACUAAGAGUGGUGUUGAUUACGUGGAAGUUGGUGAAUCAGGUGAUAAUGUGGUAAAGAGUGUCAUGGUGGAUGAUUCCUUUUCUAACUGGAAUGUGAAAUGCAAGGAUGUUGUUGAAAAACUGAUAUCUGAUUCCAGGAAAAAUGAGAAAGUGGAAAAUGAGGAUGAGGUGAAGAGUGUGGUGGUGGUGGAAAUUGAUGGAGACGGGGAAGGAGAUAAGGGUGAUAACAGUGAGGUUGAGGAACUGGAUUUAGCAACUUAUAACGAAUCUGUUUCUAGUCGUAAGAGGAAGCGAGAGUCCAUUCCUAGAAUGCUGAACUGGGUUACUGGGAUUGCAAGGGAUCCAUGUGAUCCUGUGGUUGGAUCAUUACCUGAGUGGUCAAAGUGGAAAUUUUAUGGGAAUGAGGAAUGCUGGAAGCAGGUUUUGUUGACUCGGGAAGCAUUGUUUCUGAAAAGAAAUGUUGAUUCAACCUCAAUUGCAGAACGCUCUUUUCGGCAGAAAAAUCCAAAGAUGCAUCCAUGUAGGUAUGAUGAUCAUGCUGGAUCUAGUUACAAUCUUAGAGAGAGGUUAAAAUGUAGAAAGAAGCCACUUCCUGGGGGAACAUCUUCUCAAGCACAUGUUUGUUCACAGUCAUCUUCUGGGGAAACAUCUUCAUGCAUGGACGGGGUUUAUGAUGGUGAUUCUUCAACUGAACAUUCAGUGCUUGACUUUCCAAUUACAAAGAGAAUUCCUGUGGGGCCAGUUUUUCAGGCCGAAGUACCAGAGUGGACUGGUGUGGUUUCCAAAAGCGACUCAAAGUGGCUUGGGACUCAGGUUUGGCCACUCAAAACUUCAAUUAACAAAUUUGUUAUUGAAAGGGAACCUAUUGGUAAGGGAAGGUCAGAUUCAUGUGGAUGCCAAGUGCCGAAAUCUAUAGAAUGUGUCAGAUUUCACAUUACUGAGCGAAGGUUGAGAGUGAUGCGUGAAUUGGCGAAGGCUUUUAAUCAGUGGAGAUUUGAUAGGAUGGGUGAAGAAGUUAAACUCUCCUGGACAGUUGAAGAACAAAAGAAGUUUGGAGCUACAGUGAGGUCAAAUCCUCUCUCUCUCGAUAAGAAUUUUUGGGUUGAGAUAUUCAAAUGUUUCCCUGGUAGGAGAAGGGAAGAUCUGGUGAGCUACUACUACAAUGUAUUUCUUUUGCAGCGCAGAGCAAACCAGAAUAGGUCUACUCCAGGUAACAUUAAUAGUGAUGAUGAAUCAGAAUGUGAAUUAUUAACCAAUGGCUCUGGGCGUGAGGCUGUCAAUUCACCAGGCUCUCUCUUAUCAGCAAAGAAGCAGCAUAAACAUGUUAAAUAGUGUCUGAUCCGGUUGACGCCUAACCAAGAUAUAGAGCCUGGCAGUUUCCUUUUUUCCUUUUUCCUUUUCGGUUUUGCUAUUUGGCAAUUUUGAAUGGCUGCUACAGAAUUUCCACUGCUUUGAAAAGCGGAUGUUUAGCAAUUCAAGUUUGUGCAUUGGUGGGUAAUUAAAGGAGAGAAUUGAUGACAGCUGUUGUUGUGGGAGCAGCAAACUGUAUCUUCACUUAGCAAAACCUUUUCCUUUUUAAGCUGUUUGGUGACAAGGCUGGCUUCAGUAGGAACAUUAGGAAUACAGUGAAAUGUCAAAUUGGUUGGUUAGAUGGAGAUGGAUAUUAGAAAAGUGUAUACUGUUAUUCAAAUUGUAGUCUCUCAUCUAUUUUUGGUACAUGCACUUGAUAUAGUAGAUUUUAAACAUGAAUGGAACCUAGUCUUGCCCCAGGCAUUUGCAUUUUCGAUUGUGCUGUUUUAUUCUUGUAGAAUUGCAUGAAGACAACAAAAUGUUAGGUGCAUAGAGAAAACCACACGACUUUUGUAGUAUUGAAGAUGAGAGAGAAGUCAAUUGAAGGAUGGUUGUUUCAAAUGUUAUGCUUGAAUUUGCAUGUUUUUAACCGCUUAUAAAUUUGGAAGUCUACUUUCAAGACCAUUUGUGCUUUGAUGAGUGGCACCAGUAGCAGGUGUGAAGAAAGGUAAAUAAAAAGAACAAUUUUUUUUACUUGAAUCAUGUUCCAUUCUAGUUUUUUUUCGGGUGGAAGUGCGCAUUUCGGAGAUACACUUCGAGGUUGAUAUUCACCGAUUUGUUCUUCCUUUUGAAUGGAUUUGACAGUUUAAUGGAAGAAAAUGGCUGGUUUGAAUAUAGGGUGGAUUUCAAGUUUGCUUGAAACGAAACAACAAAUUAUUAGUUUUUAUGUUGUAAAUGCUUCGACUGUUGUUUUGGCUUUGGCAAAAUGGAAUGCUUAGUGAGUGAAAAUGCUGUCAGAUUAUCUGGGGUUUAAGCAUGUACCGAGGUCGCAUGUGCAAACGGUAGGGGUCUUUAGUUUUGGCAAUGGCGUGUUGCAUGUUGUUUCUCUGUCGAGUGUAUGACCUGAGAUUUGAACUGCAUGCUUAGGUUUAGCUCGUGGCAAGUUCAUUAUGGUUUUCCUUUAGGCAUCUCCAUCAAUAGUAUGCAUACAGAGAUAUCAAGAAUUCAUGAAUCGUUUGCAUUAUAUUAUAAUUAUAAAUAAAUAAAAGAACUAAUCGGGGUCAUUGUUUAAUGACCAUUUUGCAAUUCUCAAACAAUCAUUUAACUAGUUACGGGCGAAACAGGUUUUUUCAUAGGAUUCAUUUGUUAUUAUCGAUCUUUUUAUAUUUUAGAUGCAUAAUGGAAUGAUUUAAAUACUUUAAAAGCAAAAAAAAAAAAAAAAAAAGGGGUCUAGAGGUUUUUGGUCUUUUAAUGUUUUAAUUGUAUAGUGAAAUAAUAAAAUUGCUUUUCAAAAUAAAAUUGAUAUUCAAGGGUGUUUUUGUCUUUUUUGUUAUGGUUUUUUAGUUAUAAUAAAUUUGAAUAAGUGUUAAUUUAAUUUUUUUAAUAAAUAUAAAUAUAAUUAAAAAAAAUAAGUGGUUAGCGCGUCUAUACCUUUUUUAGACAGUGAAUGUGACACUUCUUAGUAGGUAGUCGUUUGCAACAAUGUUGGAAGCAAUUCCUGGUGGUUAGAUGUUUAUGCACAACAAAGGAUGCCAUAGACCUUUUCUUUUCCUUCUUUUUGCUCUUCGUUUUGGAUUCACAUUGGCCAUUCCAAAAAUCAAAUGUUUUGUCUUAUCAAUUUUAAUAUUUUUUUUAUUGAUAUAUGUUUUACUUUUAAUGUUAUUUGAAGAUUUUUUUUUUUAAUUUUAUUUUUUAAUAAUAUUUUUCAUUUAUUUAUUUUUAUCUAAUUUAGUCUUAGUUUUUUUAUUUUUCUCUUGAUUUUUUUAAAAAUUACUUGGAUUUUUUUUAUAGUUUAGUUAUUUUUUCAUUUGUUCUUUAUAUUUUUAAAAAUUACGGGUCAAUGUAAUUUUUAUAUAAUACUUUAUAUUUUUAUUAGGAUAAGUGAAAAAACUGAAGAAUUAAUUAAACUGAAAAAACAAAAAAAAUAAUCGAGAAAAUUGAAUUGUAAAAAAAAACUGAUUAGAAAAAGUUUUAAAAAUAAAUUUGGUUCAGUUUUGAUUUUAAAAAACUAAAACUAAAUGAAUUAAACCAAAUCAAACCGGUUUGAUCUAAACCCAGUUAAAAAAAAACAGAGUAUAAAUAUUAAAGUUUCUUUUCUUCUCACCCUAAUCAGACCUAGCUGCCGCCCUCUCUUUUCUUAUCACCCUCUGUCUCUCUCACUCUUCUAAUCUCUCUUUAUCCAUGACCUCACAUGCUCAAGAACACUAUUUUUUUUACCGGUUCAUGAACCAUGACUAUUGCUAAGAAACAUUUUAUGCCCUCUCCUUUCCAUGAUGGAACUUGAUUAUUUGUGCAGACUGUAGACAUUGUUCAAGUGGGGUUGCUCUCAUUCCCACAGAAUGAAGAUUGUGCAGUUGUGUUUGGAUCGCCAGCAUCACAGUUGAAGCACUGCAGAUUUCAAAUGCUUGUGGAGAUGAUAGCAUAAUCUUGGCAUUUCUUUGCAUGUUACCACAGAAGCUAAAAUUGUUAGUGUGCUUAGCAACAUAGGUUUUUUAAGUAAAUCCUGCAUCUUAAACUCCAGCAGCGAUGUGUUUAUUUAGGCAAUAUUUUUUUUUUCUUGUCUGGAUUGGAUCUUUAUGAUUUGUUUGUGCAUUUUGGUUUGUGGUGUUUUUGUGAAAAUCAAGAAAGAAGAUGAUGGUUUAGUGCCGUCAACCGCUUCACUUUAUGUCUAAA